rnacentral:rRNA from 1 species
UACGUAGGGUGCAAGCGUUAAUCGGAAUUACUGGGCGUAAAGCGUGCGCAGGCGGUUAUGUAAGACAGAUGUGAAAUGCCCGGGCUUAACCUGGGAACUGCAUUUGUGACUGCAUGGCUAGAGUUUGGCAGAGGGGGGUAGAAUUCCACGUGUAGCAGUGAAAUGCGUAGUUAUGCGGAGGAACACCGAUGGCGAAGGCAAUCCCCUGGGCCUGCACUGACGCUCAUGCACGAAAGCGUGGGGAGCAAACAGG